GCCGGGUACAGUGGCGAAUGCCUGUAAUCCCAGAGGCUCAGGAGGCUGAGGCAGGAGGAUUGCGAGUUCAAAGGCAGCCUCAGCCUCAGCAACAGUGAGGUGCUAAGUAAUUCAAUGAGACCCUGUCUCUA
rnacentral:sRNA from 1 species